rnacentral:rRNA from 1 species
UACGGAGGGUGCAAGCGUUAUCCGGAUUCACUGGGUUUAAAGGGAGCGUAGGCGGAACGAUAAGUCAGUGGUGAAAGCCCCGAGCUCAACUUGGGAAUUGCCAUUGAUACUGUUGUUCUUGAGUUCGGUUGAGGUAGGCGGAAUGUUACAUGUAGCGGUGAAAUGCUUAGAUAUGUAACAGAACACCGAUUGCGAAGGCAGCUUACCAAAGCCGACACUGACGCUGAGGCUCGAAAGCGUGGGGAUCAAACAGG